UGCAGCUGGUACACCCACUAUGUUGUGAAAUCAGAGGCAAUUCCCAGCAAGGCUGAAAGCAAGCGCCAUGGAUAAGAGUGCAUGAUGUGAGCGGAGCAGCAGUGAAGAGGAGUGGUUUCUCCCUGACCUUUGGCAGCACAAGCGAGCAGCAUGGCGGGAAUGACGUGGACGGACUCGGAUUCUGGCUCUGGACAGGAUGCACGAAGGAUCUUGGCAGCGACCCAGGCAACACAGACGGCAAGAAGGGAAGUGACUACAUCUCUUCACUGGUAACUGACUCUUCAGGAAACUGGCGGCGAAUGAGUGGACUGCGGAGGGGUCUGAGAAACUAGCGUCGCAGCCCGCGGCUGCUCAAUCGUGGCUGGGUCAGAGUGUACCACGGCGGAUUUCUCCUCUGCUCUCUUAUCUCCUGGCAGGGCGAGACACCAGAGCAAUUGCUCCUAUCUGGGAAUAAUUUACGAGGGUGAACAGGGCUGUGUCUGCCCGUACUUUUAUUG